CCAGACUCCUACGGGAGGCAGCAGUGGGGAAUAUUGCACAAUGGGGGAAACCCUGAUGCAGCGACGCCGCGUGAAGGACGAAGUAUUUCGGUACGUAAACUUCUAUCAGCAGGGAAGAAAAUGACGGUACCUGACCAAGAAGCCCCGGCUAACUACGUGCCAGCAGCCGCGGUAAUACGUAGGGGGCAAGCGUUAUCCGGAUUUACUGGGUGUAAAGGGAGCGUAGACGGCCAUGCAAGUCUGAUGUGAAAACCCGGGGCUCAACCCCGGGACUGCAUUGGAAACUGUGUGGCUGGAGUGUCGGAGAGGCAAGUGGAAUUCCUAGUGUAACGGUGAAAUGCGUAGAUAUUAGGAGGAACACCAGUGGCGAAGGCGGCUUGCUGGACGACGACUGACGUUGAGGCUCGAAAGCGUGGGGAGCAAACAGGAUUAGAUACCCCUGUACUA
rnacentral:rRNA from 1 species